rnacentral:rRNA from 1 species
GACGGAAAUAAAGGCCUUCUUCUAAUACUUGAUGGUCUUGACGGUACCAUAAGAAUAAGCACCGGCUAACUACGUGCCACCAGCCGCGGUAAUACGUACGGUGCUAGCGUUAAUCGGAAUUACUGGGCGUAAAGCGUGCGCAGGCGGUUUUGUAAGACAGAGGUGAAAUCCCCGGGCUCAACCUGGGAACUGCCUUUGUGACUGCAAGGCUGGAGUGCGGCAGAGGGGGAUGGAAUUCCUCGUGUAGCAAUGAAAUGCGUAGAUAUGCGGAGGAACACCGAUGGCCAAGGCAAUCCCCUGGGCCUGCACUGACGCUCAUGCACCAAAGGUGGGGAGCAAACAGGAUUAGAUACCCUGGUAGUCCACGCCCUAAACAAUGUCAACUGGUUGUUGGGAAUUCAUUUUCUCAGUAACGAAGCUAACGCGUGAAGUUGACCGCCUGGGGAGUACGGCCGCAAGGUUGAAAG